rnacentral:rRNA from 1 species
UACGAGAGGCCCAAACGUUAUUCGGAUUUACUGGGCGUAAAGGGCGCGUAGGCGGUCAGCACAAGUCAGUUGUGAAAUCUCCGGGCUUAACUCGGAAAGGUCAACUGAUACUGUGCGACUAGAGUGCAGAAGGGGCAACUGGAAUUCUCGGUGUAGCGGUGAAAUGCGUAGAUAUCGAGAGGAACACCUGCGGCGAAGGCGGGUUGCUGGGCUGACACUGACGCUGAGGCGCGAAAGCCAGGGGAGCGAACGGG